AUUGAACGCUGGCGGCAGGCCUAACACAUGCAAGUCGAACGAGUGGCGGACGGGUGAGUAAUGCCUCGGAAACUGCCUGAUGGAGGGGGAUAACUUCUGGAAACGGUAGCUAAUACCGCAUACUAUCAGAGCGGCCCCGGUGGGCUUAGCUUGUUGGUGGGGUAAAGGCUCACCAAGGCGACGAUCACUAGCUGGUCUGAGAGGCUGACCAGCCACACUGGAACUGAUACACGGUCCAGACGCCUACGGGAGGCAGCAGUGGGGAAUAUUGCACAAUGGGCGCAAGCCUGAUGCAGCCAUGCCGCGUGUCUGAAGAAGGCCUUCGGGUUGUAAAGUACUUUCGUCAGGGAAGCGUUACCUGCAGAAUAAGCACCGGCUAACUCCGUGCCAGCCGCCGCGGUAAUAC
rnacentral:rRNA from 1 species